GCAAGCUGAUCAUCAUACCGCGUGUGUGAAGAAGGCCUGAGGGUUGUAAAGCACUUUCAAUAGGAAGGAACACCUACUGGUUAAUACCCAGUAGCAUGACAUUACCUAUACAAGAAGCACCGGCUAACUCCGUGCCAGCAGCCGCGGUAAUACGGAGGGUGCAAGCGUUAAUCGGAAUUACUGGGCGUAAAGCGUGCGUAGGCGGUUUUUUAAGUCAGAUGUGAAAGCCCCGGGCUUAACCUGGGAACGGCAUUUGAUACUGGAAGACUUGAGUUUACUAGAGGGGAGUGGAAUUUCAGGUGUAGCGGUGAAAUGCGUAGAGAUCUGAAGGAACACCAGUGGCGAAGGCGAUUCCCUGGAGUAAAACUGACGCUGAGGUACGAAAGCGUGGGUAGCAAACAGGAUUAGAUACCCUGGUAGUCCACGCCGUAAGCGAUGUCAACUAGCCGUUGGACCGACAUAUAGGUUUAGUGGCGCAGCUAACGCACUAAGUUGACCGCCUGGGGAGUACGGCCGCAAGGUUAAAACUCAAAUGAAUUGACGGGGGCCCGCACAAGCGGUGGAGCAUGUGGUUUAAUUCGAUGCAACGCGAAGAACCUUACCUACCCUUGACAUCCAGAGAAUCUGUGAGAGAUCGUAGAGUGCUUCGGGAGUCU
rnacentral:rRNA from 1 species